rnacentral:rRNA from 1 species
UCCGGAGGGUGCAAGCGUUAUCCGGAUUCACUGGGCGUAAAGCGCGCGCAGGCGGCGAUCUACGUCUGGGGUGAAAGCCCGGAGCUCAACUCCGGGACUGCCUUGGAUACGGGAUCGCUUGAGGAUUGGAGAGGCAAGGGGAAUUCCACGUGUAGCGGUGAAAUGCGUAGAUAUGUGGAGGAACACCUGUGGCGAAGGCGGCUUCCUGGACCGACACUGACGCUGAGGCGCGAAAGCUAGGGGAGCAAACGGG